AACCUUAUGGACCUGCGGGCGUAUACCUGCGGAAGGAUCAUUAAUGGGUAGGCUUUGGCCAUAAUCCCUCACCAUUGUGAACGAAGCUUUAGUAGCAGUUGCUUCGGCGGGUGAUAAUACCAUGCCCCUUUCGGGGUACCCGCCGGAGGCAAGUAAAUUCUUGUUAUUUAUUGUUAUCUCUGAGUAAACUUUAAAUAAGUCAAAACUUUUAACAACGGAUCUCAGAUCGGAAGAGCACAC
rnacentral:misc_RNA from 1 species